UCGGAGCCCCAUCCGCCGGUGAUGUAAAGCCGGGGAUGUUGUGCAGCCCCCGCUGACAGAGCCAUCCCAUUCCGCAGCCUGGCUGUCAGAAGCCCUCCAUAUGGCCAUGUGAUUGCUGCUGCUGCUGCUUCACGUGAUCCUUUCUGGCACAAAGGCUCGGAGCUCGUACAGAUGAUUGUUAAACAUCAUGAGACUCUGCAAGUGAAUCUCUUGAAGAAAAGCUUGAAAGCCUGGAUGCUGAAGAUCUCAUGUCUCAUCUGUCACGACCAGAAACCUACCUAGAUGAGGAGAAAAGAUCAAGGAAGUAAAACUGACCAAACUACGGGACUGACAAGGUUAAGCAUGGUGUUGCUCUAGGGGAAGGAAGGUGUUAGAGAUGCUGCAGAGCCUCAGACAGAUACUUGUGCUGGGAAGGAGAAUGCUACACAGAAGACAUUGCCAUGAGAUGAUAAAGCAAGGAGUCUGGGACAAACCACAUGAGACAGAGAGAUGUGGACUGGAAGGGCUAGACAGCUCCUUAACCAGCAGAUUUCAGAUUUUUACAUACUGGCUGGAAAGGAUCUGAGAUUCUACCAGGUAUGCCACCAGCUUGGCAGCACAGGAGAAGAAAUGCUUAUGGGCUCUGCUCGUAAGGAAGAGAUUAAAGACAAUACAAGGUGGCUAAGAGAUUCUUGAGGCAAAAACUGCAAUCUAAAUGUGAUCUGCUUUCUCAGAAUCAAAUCCCUGGACUGGCUCCAAUGAGCAGCUCAGGAAUGUUCAGCACAACCACAGCCUCUAGCUAUGGGACAGAACAAAAGUUGCAACAGUGAUGAUGCUUUAUCUUCCACAUCUUACUCCAGCAACAUUUCCAUGGGUGCCAACAAUGAUAUCUGCUUGAAAGAGGCCUGAAAAGAAGAUUUUUUUCUUUUCAAAUUCGGAGUCAGUUAUUUAGAGACUGAUCAACUCAUUGCAUUUAUGACUGUGGUUAACUGAAACCACCUAAGGCUGAUAAUGCCAUCAUGAACUCUCACAUUCCAAAAAUGAAGCUAAAACCUUAGCUAAGCCAAGCCCCAUGUCUGAGUGCAGCUUUCCAGUUCAUUCAGAGCAGCACAGCACUCAGCAUUUUCCCUCCAACAAGAGAAAGCCCCUUCCUGACCUCCCGGAACGUUGCUGCAUGAGAAUACGGUUGUCACUCCUACUGCAAACUUAUUUAAGAGACAAUAGGACAAAUAGUUGGCACAUAGUUUCUUCUUAAAACGUAAAUCUAGAUCAACAAUAAAACAUAAAAGGCCAAGGAAACAUGCAAAGACACUCAGAAAAUGCUCAUUUUACUUUGCAGAUUAAUUUUUGCUGAGUGAGACAUUGCAAUUUACAAAGUGGGCCCUAUUCUGCAAGUCCUUUCUUACACGAGCUCAUUUUAAAGCCACUGAGGUUGUUUAUGAGAGUAAAAGUUACUUACAUGAAUAAGGACUCGCAGAUUCUGGCCUUACGCAUUUUGCUACCUAGGCAUUGUCUGGGAUGUAGAGCAGCGUGUAUUUUUAGGAACUAAAAAUGGACUUCAGUUGUUUCUUUUGGAAAAAGUUCUGACUUCAGCUUUCA